GUUUUUGUAGUUGAAUUA
rnacentral:tRNA from 4 species